rnacentral:rRNA from 1 species
AGCGAACGCUGGCGGCAGGCCUAAUACAUGCAAGUCGAACGAACUCUUCGGAGUUAGUGGCGGACGGGUGAGUAACACGUGGGAACGUGCCUUUAGGUUCGGAAUAACUCAGGGAAACUUGUGCUAAUACCGAAUGUGCCCUUCGGGGGAAAGAUUUAUCGCCUUUAGAGCGGCCCGCGUCUGAUUAGCUAGUUGGUGAGGUAAAGGCUCACCAAGGCGACGAUCAGUAGCUGGUCUGAGAGGAUGAUCAGCCACAUUGGGACUGAGACACGGCCCAAACUCCUACGGGAGGCAGCAGUGGGGAAUCUUGCGCAAUGGGUGAAAGCCUGACGCAGCCAUGCCGCGUGAAUGAUGAAGGUCUUAGGAUUGUAAAAUUCUUUCACCGGGGACGAUAAUGACGGUACCCGGAGAAGAAGCCCCGGCUAACUUCGUG